GGUUGUAUAGUGUAAUGGCUAGCACAUCGGAUUUUGAUUCCGGUAAUCCCGGUUCGAUCCCGGGUACGACCU